AGAACGAACGCUGGCGGCAGGCCUAACACAUGCAAGUCGAACGGAUCCUUCGGGAUUAGUGGCAGACGGGUGAGUAACGCGUGGGAAGCUACCUUGUGGUAGGGAACAACAGUUGGAAACGACUGCUAAUACCCUAUGAGCCCUAUGGGGGAAAGAUUUAUCGCCAUGAGAUGUGCCCGCGUUAGAUUAGCUAGUUGGUAAGGUAAUGGCUUACCAAGGCGACGAUCUAUAGCUGGUCUGAGAGGAUGAUCAGCCACACUGGGACUGAGACACGGCCCAGACUCCUACGGGAGGCAGCAGUGGGGAAUAUUGGACAAUGGGGGCAACCCUGAUCCAGCCAUGCCGCGUGAGUGAUGACGGCCUUAGGGUUGUAAAGCUCUUUCAGCAGUGAAGAUAAUGACAUUAACUGCAGAAGAAGCCCCGGCUAACUUCGUGCCAGCAGCCGCGGUAAUACGAAGGGGGCUAGCGUUGUUCGGAAUCACUGGGCGUAAAGCGUACGUAGGCGGACUGAUCAGUCAGGGGUGAAAUCCCGGGGCUCAACCCCGGAACUGCCUUUGAUACUGUCAGUCUUGAGAUCGAGAGAGGUGAGUGGAACUCCGAGUGUAGAGGUGAAAUUCGUAGAUAUUCGGAAGAACACCAGUGGCGAAGGCGGCUCACUGCUCGAUAC
rnacentral:rRNA from 1 species